rnacentral:rRNA from 1 species
UACGAAGGGGGGCUAGCGUUGCUCGGAAUGACUGGGCGUAAAGGGUGCGUAGGCGGCGCGGUAAGUCGGGUGUGAAAUCUUGGAGCUUAACUCCGAAACUGCAUUCGAUACUGCCGUGCUUGAGGACUGGAGAGGAGACUGGAAUUUACGGUGUAGCGGUGAAAUGCGUAGAUAUCGUAAGGAAGACCAGUGGCGAAGGCGGGUCUCUG